AGCGAACGCUGGCGGCGUGCCUAACACAUGCAAGUCGAACGUGAAAAGGGAAACCUGAGUACAGUGGCGUACGGGUGAGUAACGCGUGGGUAAUCUACCCCAGAAUCUGGAAUAACCUGCCGAAAGGCGGGCUAAUACUGGAUAGAGCGAGGGAACUCGUAAGAGAGUUUUUCGGGAAAGGGAGCCCGCAAGGGCCUUCGUUCUGGGAUGAGCCUGCGUCUCAUUAGCUAGUUGGUAAGGUAACGGCUUACCAAGGCGAUGAUGAGUAGCUGGUCUGAGAGGAUGAUCAGCCACACUGGAACUGAAACACGGUCCAGACUCCUACGGGAGGCAGCAGUGGGGAAUCUUGCGCAAUGGACGAAAGUCUGACGCAGCCACGCCGCGUGAGUGAAGAAGGCCUUCGGGUUGUAAAGCUCUGUCGGAUGGGACGAACAUCUUCAUAGUGAAUAGCUAGGAGGACUGACGGUACCAUCAAAGGAAGCACCGGCUAACUCCGUG
rnacentral:rRNA from 1 species